rfam:Verticillium albo-atrum VaMs.102 supercont1.27 mitochondrial scaffold, whole genome shotgun sequence.
AGGAGAGUCCCUUUAUUGGCAAGAAGGGUUGAACUGUAAAUUCAAUAGCACUAUGCUUCUAAGAGUUCGAAUCUCUUUUCUCCUA